rnacentral:rRNA from 1 species
UACGUAGGGUACAAGCGUUGUCCGGAAUUAUUGGGCGUAAAGAGCUCGUAGGCGGCUUGUCACGUCUGCUGUGAAAUCCCGGGGCUCAACCCCGGGCGUGCAGUGGAUACGGGCUGGCUAGAGGCAGGCAGGGGAGAACGGAAUUCCCGGUGUAGCGGUGAAAUGCGCAGAUAUCGGGAGGAACACCGGUGGCGAAGGCGGUUCUCUGGGCCUGUACUGACGCUGAGGAGCGAAAGCGUGGGGAGCGAACAGG